GGAUGUGGGGUUGCUUAGACAACCAGGAUGUUGGCUUAGAAGCAGCCACCAUUGAAAGAGUGCGUAAUAGCUCACUGGUCGAGUGACCCCGCGCCGAAAAUGUACCGGGGCUAAACAUAUUACCGAAACUGUGGAUGAACCUCUUUAGAGGUUCGUGGUAGGAGAGCGUUCUAAGGGCGGUGAAGUCAGACCGGAAGGACUGGUGGAGCGCUUAGAAGUGAGAAUGCCGGUAUGAGUAGCGAAAGAAGGGUGAGAAUCCCUUCCACCGAAUAUCUAAGGUUUCCUGAGGAAGGCUCGUCCGCUCAGGGUUAGUCGGGACCUAAGCCGAGGCCGAUAGGCGUAGGCGAUGGACAACAGGUAGAGAUUCCUGUACCAGUGCUAAUUGUUUAACCGAUGGGGUGACACAGAAGGAUAGGGAAUCGCACGAAUGGAAAUGUGCGUCCAAGCAGUGAGUGUGAG
rnacentral:rRNA from 1 species